AUACGUAGGUGGCAAGCGUUGUCCGGAAUUAUUGGGCGUAAAGCGCGCGCAGGUGGUUCCUUAAGUCUGAUGUGAAAGCCCCCGGCUCAACCGGGGCGGGUCAUUGGAAACUGGGGAACUUGAGUGCAGAAGAGGAUAGUGGAAUUCCAAGUGUAGCGGUGAAAUGCGUAGAGAUUUGGAGGAACACCAGUGGCGAAGGCGACUGUCUGGUCUGUAACUGACACUGAGGCGCGAAAGCGUGGGGAGCAAACAGGAUUAGAUACCCUGGUAGUCCACGCCGUAAACGAUGAGUGCUAAGUGUUGGGGGGUUUCCGCCCCUCAGUGCUGCAGCUAACGCAUUAAGCACUCCGCCUGGGGAGUACGGUCGCAAGACUGAAACUCAAAUGAAUUGGCGGGG
rnacentral:rRNA from 1 species